GAGUUGAAGACACAGUAUGUUCCCUGCUGCAUUCAGAUUCAAGGGCCACUUAGUACAGAAGGCUCACAGUAGAUGUGAAAGCUGAGAGCAUGCAGGGAAAUCACUGGCAGCAGGUUGGGUCAUGGACAGAGACACAUGGAUACAGUGAGAGCAUUCCAAGCUCAUUGAGUCACCAGGAGAUCGAUUUACCAGCCCAGAAGGUCACUGAAGAUUCAGCCCAGAGAAAAGAGUGUCUGGGAGUCUGAAGACCCAGCUAGGGCAAACACAGGGCCCAGAGAAUGUUGCACAACUUGCCAUGAAAAAUUUGUAACAGCCAGAGGAUGGGGAGGACUGCUAUAAAGUGGUCUUCUGGAUGUGGUGUGACCAUCGUACAUCAUAAGCUUACAGCAGUGUGGCUACCUCCAUGAGAUGUGCAUAAAAAAUCAAAGAUGAGAAAGUGAGGGUGGGGAGUACCACCAUCUUAGAGGUGAAGCUGGAAAAACGUGGUGAGAUGGAUUCAUACUGUACAAGAUGUGAGGAAUAUCCUUUUUAUCACAAGAAAGACUAUGAGAAUCCACCAAUGGAGGAGUGGCUAUUCACAAAGGGUCAGGAAAGAUUGGUGACUGAGUGAAUCUGAUAUAUUGAGUGUAAAGCUGUGUGAGUUGGAAUGUCUCAUUACCUCAGGGCACGGCAAAUGAGGAGGGGAGCCAAGAGCAAAGCCCCAAAGGUUGGAUCCCCUCUGUGAGCUUGCCUACCUUUGUGGAACAAAGCACAACACACAGAGCAUGCAUAAUGCUGGCAUUUCAUGUGGUGGAACAUGCAAGCUGGAUAGUGAUUUCUUUUCAACAUUCAUACCAACUUUGGAAAAGAAGAAUCACAAAUAACAAAGCCUGAGCUUCCCUGACCCAAACACAAAGGAUAUAGAGAGCAGGGCUUUAUCAGCCCAUCUGGGGAGCAGAGGACAUUAAAAUCCCAUCAUUCAUCCUAGAAGUAGGGAAUCUCACCAAAAAUGUGAAAAACCAACCACCUUCUUAUCAGACCUCUUCAACUGAGAUGAUCCCCAAAGGCGGUAGCCAGCUUGCCCUUUACUUCUACUGCAGAAACUCCUGCAGCGUUGUUGACUCCAUCUGAGAGCAUCAAAUCUCAAGAAGGACUGAGCAAGUUCAAGGUGGUGGGUGAGAACUUGCUUCCACUGGAGAGUCACAGCUGACUAAGAGUCACAGCUGGAUGCAGGCGGAGAAUGAGAUUCUGGAAGCACAAAGAAUGAAUUCUCACUCCACUCUGGAUAUCUGCCUGGGACCAUGGUUCUUCAGCCAGUGGAAGAAUGUUCAUGAUCAAGACUCCUUCUGUGUAUUCCAGGUCCCUGCUGAACUUCAUAGUCUGGAAAUCUUGGCUGCUCAAGUUUUUCUCACAGCCUGUCUUCCUGCAAAACACUCACAGAAAGAACAUAUGGGGCUGGUCUCAAUAUGGAUGCAGCUAAGACAUCAACCAUAGUGGAUCCAGAAUCAUCCCAUCUUUUUGUCCAUGGAUGCCUUGUUAUCUGGUCCAACCUCUUCAUUGAGAUUCUCCAACCCUAUUCCACUGCCAACUUGUUGAGUGAUCAUGGGCAAAGUUUUUAACCUCUCUUGGUUUUGAUGUAGUCACAUGUAAACUAUGUGCUAGAUAGUUUCUGUGUUCCCUCCUGUUCCAGGACUUGGCCCUUUGGAAACAAAGUGCUUUAUCAUUCAGUACACAAGAAGGCACUAACUAGUGCUGUGUCAAGCACUGGCUGCAAGAAAUAACAAUUUUUGUUUAUUAAUUGUUAUUUUCUUACUCUUUCUAACAAGCAAUGGUCCUCUCUGACCAUCAGGCUUCUUAGAACCCUUCAGCAGCUUCCCCAUCGUACUUUGUAGAAACAUCAAGACAAAGUGGCAUCCUAUCCUGUGACAUUACCUCACACUUAGUUAAUACACUCCAGAUGCACCAGCUCUCUUUCUGUCUCUCUCUUUCUGGAAUAGGCUGAGCCAUAUCAACUAAAGACUUUUUGCAAGAACUUUUUGUCCUACCAGGAAUGUUCAUCCCCAAGGCAACCUAUGAUUGUCCCUUUCUCAUCAUAUAUGUCCUCAGGGUACCUUGUGAGUUAGUCUCCCCACUUUCAUUUACCUUGUUUUAUUAUGGCUAGUGGAUGAAACUUAUUGUCUAUAGAUUCUUUUGUGCUGCAAGAGCUGGCUGAAUAUUAUGUAUGAGGCAUAGACACAGAGACUGUACCAUCUGCUAGUUGAAAACAUUCAUCAUCUGGUUUAUGUAGGGAAAGAUUUCUAAUCCCUGUAUCCUAUAGUGUCAUUUAUUCACAGUGCAUAUAGUAUUUUAACUGUUAAACCAAACUUCUUCCUAUUUUGUUUGCUUUUAACUUUUUUCCCUAACAAGAAUGUAAAUGCCUUCAAGUUAAGGGACUCAUCUGUCUUGAUCUAGGUGGUUUUAUUAGCCUGACACAAAGCCAAUAAAUAAUGGUAGAACAGAUGGACCAGGUCUAUUUCCUUUUGCUCAACAGAAGCAACAAAAAGUUUAAUAUUCAUCAUAAAAUAAAACUCUCCACCUCCUGGCCUUUACAACAGUCCCAUGAUCCACUGCCAAGCUCUUCUCUACCCCUGCCUCUAAUUCUCAUUAUGUUAAUUUUUUUUUUUGCUUUGUGCUGACACUCCUAACUGCCAGUAACUUCUUUCCUCUCUCUCUGACAACUCUCUGGCCCAGUUCUUGGCCCUCAGUGAAACUUGCAGCCCUCCAGGCAGAAAUUGAUUGCUAGGAUGCCAAUUCAGGCCAGUACUGCCUCCCUUUUAGAUAUUUAUGGGCAGGGCUCUGAAUUGUGAGGGACUCAUGAACUCAGACACAUUUUUAAGAGAACUUUAUAGUUAAACCUCUGUUUGGCUAAGGGCUUAUUUUAAAAAAUAAUAAAUCUAGGUUCUUAGAGAAUAGAACUCAAGGGGCAGAAGUUUGAAUCUAUAAAGUUCACAUAUCAGUCAUGGAGGAGCCCUUGCAGCCAUCUAGUGUUUCUCAAACUUCUCUAUCUCAGUCCACCUAAUGGUAGAUCUGAAUAUCAUAUCUCCCCACAUGGAAAAAGAGUCAGUGUUUACACUAAAUCUCCAUAAUGUUUUUCACUGUGAUAAUUCAUUAUAACAUUGUGCUGGUUGGUUUUUGUCAACUGGACAUAAACCUAGAUAUACCAGAGGAGAGAGAAUAUAAACUGAAAAAUUUGCAUAUCUCAGAUUUACCCAGGGGUUAUCUGUAGGGUAUUGUGGACUGUGGGGGUAUAGUCUUUAUUAAUGACAGAUGUGAGAGGGCCCAGCUCACUGUGGGCAGUGCCAUCCCUGGGCAAGAAGUCAUGGCUUCUAUAAAGCAGCAGUCUGAGCAAGCCAUGAGGAGCAAUUCAGUAAGCAGCACCCCUCUAUGUCCUCUCCUUCAGUUUCUACCCUUUAUGAUGGACUACAAACUGUAAGCCAAAAUAAACCCUUUCCUUCCACAUUGCUUUUGGUCAUGGUCUAUCACUAGAAAGAAAAUAGAAAAAAAAGCAUUAUAUUCUAUUUCAUAGUGCAAUUUAAGAAGUAAUUUUUACUAAGAGGUUCAACUGUUGCAACCACACCUUUAUAAUGUUAAAACAAAAAUCAUGGUCUGCACCCAUCUUUUGUACCCUUCUACCUGUGUUGACAUUCCUAGUAAGACAGUUAGCAAGCUCAGGGUCCAAGUUGUUUUUUCCCUGAACAAAUGAAGAGACUGACACUCUAAUAAAAGAAGCCAUAGAAAUGGAGCCUUCCACCCUUUAGAUCCAUUUUACACCUGUGCAUUAGAGAAUAUGUGCUUCUCUUUAGCGGCAUGAGAAAUGCACAGAGUAGUCUCCAUUUGCCCCUCCAUCUCUGCCUGUCAUCCUUCUCCACUUAUGCCAUGACCCUCAAAGCUGGUGUCUCUUGCCUGCCUUUAUUACCUCCUAACUUCUGAUGGGGUUUGGCUGAUGGUAGACAAGGGAAUAAAUUGGAGGAUAUCAUGAGAGUAAGGUCAGAGUGCACAUAGCUCCAACUUCCUCCUUGCCAGGGUUCAGGAUAGUAGUCUCUGUUCUCUUUGACUGAGGCAGGUUGUGCUUUCCAGCUAGAAGUUCACUGGGUUCUUGGGGCAUCGCCAUUCUCUCAGCCCUUUAGGCUCAGAGUGGUUGUGGCUUAUUCACAGUGCUUUACUAUUCCAGUUACAUCUUUGUGCAUAUGACUCAUUGGGCUCUCUUCAACUCCUCUUGUCAAAGUAUCAUUUGUCUUUGUUCAUGACCCUAAUAGCAAAUGGAACCAGAAACAGCCUAAGAAAUCCCUAAAAGUGGGAUUCUGGACUUGGACUGCUCACAUGUUCAUUUAGCAGAUAUGGGCUUAUUAUGUGAGCAGCACUGGUUGUUAUGGUUUGUAAUGACCUCAUGAUUAUAUAAAUUACUAGGUGCAGCACGGGAUGGGAUGGAAUGAACCAGAGAGUACAGAUUUUGUAAUCAAUGGCCUUCAGUCUUUAGUCACUCUUGACAUAGUCUCUUGGCAAUGCUGGUGACAAAGACUGUGGUGUGGCCUGGUUAUCCACUCUAAUGAGUAUACACAGCACAGAUAGCAAAUGAAAGUGUUGUAUGUCCAACCAAGAGCAUAAACAGAGCAUUAAAAAGUCUCUGAGAUCUGCAAGACAGAGCCUAUAUAAGAAAGUGACUCAACGUCCCAGGUCACUUAUUCUUACUUCCCGAAGGCUUCCUGAUGAGUCUCUAAUGGCUAGUUUAAAAGGUAUGAUGUUACAGAUCAGUUUAUGUCUGGGUCUACAGAAUAUUCUAGAAUCAACCAGGAAUGCUGACCCUCACCUGUAGAUCUGCUCAGCAGUGAUCCCAGCAGAUGGUAGAGAUGGCCAGUCCUCCAAGUGGGUAGAGCUUUUGGAAUUGAAGAGCUUUGAAUAAACAGCACUGAAAACCUGGUGACAAGGAAGUCUGGAGAGAAAUACAGAGAUGUAGCUCUGGAAAUGGACACUGAGUAUGAAGAUAUCUAUGUGAAGAUACUUAUCUCUGAGAGCAUAACUGGCUUGGCUAAAAUGAAGAUAUUAUAAACAGA